rnacentral:lncRNA from 1 species
UCCGUAGCUGAACGAAAGAGGGACUGCAAUAGAAUUCGUCUGCUAGGCAGAGAAAAAACAUGGAACGUCUACUGCUUGACUUUUUAUUAGCAGAACAUGCAAAACAUGCUUGUCUGUCCAUCUCAGUGAUGAGAUGGCAAAUUUGUUGAGUAAAUCUGACUAAGGAAGCAAAUCUGAGAAGUGUUCCUAAAAGUAACUUGUCCCAGUGUGAUUUUCAUAGCAAUCCAUCAUUUUUUCCAAAGAUUUUUUUAUGAAGCUACAACAUAGAAGGUCGUGACCCAGUAAGCAUCAUACAGGGAGCUCCUAUUUUAAAGAAACCAUUAACUCCUCAAAGACCACAAGUACACCUGUUACCACCACCCGGUUCCAAAUCGAUGAUUGCUUGGAUUCUAGAAAAAAACAAUGCUCGGUAAAGUAAAUUUUACAGUUGCCAACCACAAUAGUUCCGCACUGUAAUAAAAUCUCGGUCAGUGACUCGGUGUCGCCAACGUGAUACAAAGUUAUUCAACUCUUUACAUCAAACCUGUUGAGAAGGAUGCCCCAGGCUGGACACUAUUACUCCAAUUGAAAAUGAAUGGACACAGUUCAUUUAUAGCACUCAUGCAAGAUGCAACCACCAUUUAGACAUCUUAAAAACGUAUUUUAGGAUAUGCAAACUAUGGCACUUAAUUUUUAUAUAAUACUUCGCAAGUUUGUCGCAUGUGAAAAAGAAUAAAAAUGGAAUGUGAUGCCUAGGUAGCAUAAUGAGGUCAGAAGAUUGCCCAACAUCUAUGGAAAAAUGACUUGAUUGAUGAACCAGCUAUAUUUAGCAGGUUGGCUUUAUUGGAGAACUGUUAAACAUUUGAUAUUCAUAAUGUUCGCAAGGCUUUUAAGAAAAUAGUUUUCAUUGCACUGGCGACAAUUCGGAAUGGCGAGGUGCGAAUGAAUCGGAUUAAAAGUCAGCGUGGAAAUGCAAUAGUUCCGCAGCUGGCAAGAAAUGAGAGGACGAUUGGUGAUGAGACAAUUUAUUCUAAUCGCUGUAACUCAUGGACACGUCGACAUUCGUGGUAAUCAAACUUAGAACGUCUGCAAUGCGAAAUUUUUCACCAAUAUAAAGGAAAGCUGCAAACAUA